GAUGAACGCUGGCGGCGUGCCUAAUACAUGCAAGUAGAACGCUGAAGCUUGGUGCUUGCACCGAGCGGAUGAGUUGCGAACGGGUGAGUAACGCGUAGGUAACCUGCCUCUUAGCGGGGGAUAACUAUUGGAAACGAUAGCUAAUACCGCAUAAAAGUCGACAUUGCAUGAUGUUGAUUUGAAAGGUGUAAUUGCAUCACUAAGAGAUGGACCUGCGUUGUAUUAGCUAGUUGGUGAGGUAACGGCUCACCAAGGCGACGAUACAUAGCCGACCUGAGAGGGUGAUCGGCCACACUGGGACUGAGACACGGCCCAGACUCCUACGGGAGGCAGCAGUAGGGAAUCUUCGGCAAUGGGGGCAACCCUGACCGAGCAACGCCGCGUGAGUGAAGAAGGUUUUCGGAUCGUAAAGCUCUGUUGUAAGAGAAGAACGAGUGUGAGAGUGGAAAGUUCACACUGUGACGGUAACUUACCAGAAAGGGACGGCUAACUACGUGCCAGCAGCCGCGGUAAUACGUAGGUCCCGAGCGUUAUCCGGAUUUAUUGGGCGUAAAGCGAGCGCAGGCGGUUAGAUAAGUCUGAAGUUAAAGGCUGUGGCUUAACCAUAGUACGCUUUGGAAACUGUUUAACUUGAGUGCAGAAGGGGAGAGUGGAAUUCCAUGUGUAGCGGUGAAAUGCGUAGAUAUAUGGAGGGACACCGGUGGCGAAAGCGGCUCUCUGGUCUGUAACUGACGCUGAGGCUCGAAAGCGUGGGGAGCAAACAGG
rnacentral:rRNA from 1 species